AGAGUAAAAUAGUACGUGAAAUUGUUGAAAGGGAAACGUUUGACACCAGUCAUGCGGGCGGAAAAUCAGUCUUUUGUAGUGGGGAAGCGCGUGGGUUCAGACCGCAAGGCUGGCCUAUGUGUUCUCUCUGCUGCGAGUGAUGCACUUUUUCGUCUGCAGGCCAACAUCAGUUUCUUCUGCUGGACAAAACUCUAAGAGAAGGUAGCAGCUUAGGCUGUGUUAUAGCUCUGGAGCGAUACAGUGGAGGAGACUGAGGUUUUCGCAGCGUGUGCUCUCGGGCAAGGCGGAUUGGGUGCUAUGAGAUCGUUCGGCGUACAAUGCAUGCAUUUUGCGCCGUGUCUUUUUCAUACUCGCUCAACUCUGCUCUUCCACGCUUAGGAUGUUGGCAUAAUGGUUUUAACCGACC
rnacentral:ncRNA from 2 species